AACGAACGCUGGCGGCAUGCCUAACACAUGCAAGUCGAACGAAGCCUUCGGGCUUAGUGGCGCACGGGUGCGUAACGCGUGGGAAUCUGCCCUUUGGUUCGGAAUAACAGUUGGAAACGACUGCUAAUACCGGAUGAUGACGAAAGUCCAAAGAUUUAUCGCCAGAGGAUGAGCCCGCGUAGGAUUAGCUAGUUGGUGUGGUAAAGGCGCACCAAGGCGACGAUCCUUAGCUGGUCUGAGAGGAUGAUCAGCCACACUGGGACUGAGACACGGCCCAGACUCCUACGGGAGGCAGCAGUGGGGAAAAUUGGACAAUGGGCGAAAGCCUGAUCCAGCAAUGCCGCGUGAGUGAUGAAGGCCCUAGGGUUGUAAAGCUCUUUACCCGGGAUGAUAAUGACAGUACCGGGAGAAUAAGCCCCGGCUAACUCCGUGCCAGCCGCCGCGGUAA
rnacentral:rRNA from 1 species